rnacentral:misc_RNA from 1 species
GGAAGUACGAAGACACUGCGUGAGAACGCCUAUUAGCCACCGCCGCCGUUCUCCUUCAUCAUCAUUCACUGUCGCCCUCGCUUUCUUCUCCACUUCGAAGCCAUUGACGUCGAUCGGCCAUCAUCGAGGCAGACUGCUGUGACUGAACUGGAGGAGGAAAGCAAUUCUAAUUAGCUGCCCACCUUUCUCUGUCUGUCCAAGUCGCUUCGACUAAUACUUCUUGGUCAGGUCAAGCUAGAUCAGCCCAACUGAAAAGUUGUGAUAGACCUGGAAAAUGGCAGACAUAUGGAUUUGGCUGUGAUCCAUUUUAUGGUAAUCUCACUCACAACGAUAAGACAAGGGCAUUCCCUCGCAAAGAACAAAGGGUGCAAGUAAUAGGGGUUCCUGGGAUUCUGGGACACCAACAGCAGCUCCUCUGUUCCUCUCUCCUUCUAGCAAAAGCUUCUCCCGUCCUUUCUUUCAAGUUUUGACUGAGAAAAAAAGCACAAAGCCUUCGUCUGACACAUUUUGCUAGAUUGGGUUGUUCUUGAUUAUGGCUGUAAGGGCUACAAGGCGAUUAUUGAGAGAUGUUUUGUACAAAAGGUUAAUUUCAAGUCCUGUUGGAGGUGUUAGACACUGUUCUUCUGUUGCAGAAGCUCCUCCUAAAAUCCCUCACUUCUCCAAAAAAGGGAGGCUGUUGACGGGACUGACCAUAGGACUGGCCAUUGCAGGAGGUGCUUAUGUAAGUACAGUAGACGAAGCAACUUUCUGUGGUUGGCUAUUCAAUGCAACAAAACUUGUCAAUCCAAUUUUUUCCCUUCUUGAUGCUGAGGUUGCUCAUACACUUGCCAUAUCAGCUGCUGCUCGUGGUUGGGUUCCUAGAGAGAAGAGGUCUGACCCUUCUAUUUUAGGAUUGGAAGUGUGGGGAAGGAAGUUCUCCAAUCCUAUAGGUCUUGCUGCCGGCUUUGACAAAAAUGCUGAAGCUAUUGAAGGCUUGCUUGGGUUGGGUUUUGGCUUUGUAGAGGUUGGCUCUGUUACCCCUGUUCCACAAGAGGGUAAUCCGAAGCCACGUAUUUUCAGACUGCGUGAGGAAAGUGCGAUUAUCAAUCGCUGUGGCUUUAACAGUGAAGGCAUUGUUGUUGUUGCAAAGAGAUUGGGUGCACAGCAUGGAAAGAGAAUGUUGGAUGAAACUUCGAGCACUUCAUCUUCCCCAAGCGAUGGCAUGAAACAAGGAGGCAAAGCUGGACCUGGCAUUCUUGGGGUUAAUCUUGGAAAGAACAAGACAAGUGAAGAUGCUACUGCAGAUUAUGUACAAGGGGUUCAUACGUUAUCCCAGUAUGCUGAUUACUUGGUUAUUAAUGUUUCAUCACCCAAUACUCCUGGAUUGCGCAUGCUUCAGGGAAGAAAACAAUUAAAGGACCUUGUUAAGAAGGUUCAAGCUGCUCGUGACGAAAUGCAAUGGGGUGAGGAAGGCCCACCUCCUCUGCUUGUGAAAAUUGCACCUGACUUGUCGAAGGAAGACCUUGAAGAUAUUGCAGCAGUGUGUAAAUGCUUUUAGUUUGAUUUCUGUUUCUCUAAUUCGACAUAUUGCAUUCUUAUAGUUCUUUGUGAAUGUAGGUUGCUCUCGCACUCCGCUUAGAUGGACUGGUAUGAUUUGUGCCCAUCAAGAAAGAAAAAUACUUUUGUUAUCUCUAAAUAUUGAUGCUUUAUUCUUCAGAAAUCUUGAUUUCUCUCAAAUGGGCUAAGCACUUCUGUUUAAGAUUUUCAAGUAUAUUUACAUGCUGAUAGCUAGUAUGGUUGAUAGAAAAUUUUUAUAGUUUAGUACGUGUUACACAGGUUACUGAUUCAUUGCUUUGAAAUUUUCUUGCAGCUUUUCAUGGCCAUGUAAUAUUACACUCUGUGGCAUGUAGUAAAUAAGAGGAUUAUAAUUCCAUUGUCAUUUCCUAAUGUCAUGCUGUAUCUUUCUCUCUUGGAGUGUGGGUGUGGGUGUGCGCCCCUUCUCUUUCGGUUGCAUGUCACUUUCCUCCUUCGGUUGGCUUGCAUGUCAAGAAUUAACUUUUUGCAGAUGUGGAUGUUCACGCAUUUAGAUGACUGUAUAAGGUUAUUGCCAUUGGAAUUUGCUCUCAAUGAAAUGAAGCUAUCUUUAUGUGUUGAAGUGCAGGUUCCACUCAGUGGUGCACAUUGUACAAGCAUCCGAAAUAUAAAUUUGUUUCCCUAAAAUUCUUAUCCUUAGCUGAACUCAGUAGAAUGAAUUGAGAAAUAGCUGAACUCAGUAGAAUGAAUUGAGAAAUUUGAUAUCCCAGAGCUUUAUUCUGUUCUGAAAAGAAAAUGAUGCAUUCAUUAUGUCCAAUUUUAUGGACUUUUGGUUGAUGUGCCCAAAUGCUGAUGUAUUUUAUUGUUUUUUUCUAUUUUACAUGCAACUUAGUUAUUGCUUUCUAAUUGAUUCAGAUUUUAAUUUUUCUGCUUUGUUUGUAGAAUAGAUUAUAUCAAAUACAACCAUAUCAAGGCCAGAUUCUAUAAUGAAGUACCCUGUGGCUGAGGAAGCAGGCGGUUUAAGUGGCAAACCUCUAUUCAGUCUAUCUACUGAUGUCUUAAAAGAGAUGUAUAUUUUGACAAGGGGAAAGAUUCCUUUAAUAGGUUGUGGGGGUAUUAGCAGUGGUGAGGAUGCAUACAAGAAAAUACGAGCUGGAGCGACUCUUGUUCAGCUUUAUACGACAUUUGCCUACGGUGGACCUGCCUUAAUUCCUCAGUUAAAGACUGAACUGGCAGAAUGCUUGCAAAGGGAUGGUUUCAAGUCUAUCCUUGAAGCAGUCGGUGCAGAUUGUAGAUAGUACCAUCUGUCUCCAUGUCUUCUAAGAAUGAGUGAGAAGACAACCUAUAUGCAUAGGGUGGACACCAUAACAAAGGUUCUUUAGAUGUCUGUCUCAUUUAUCAAGCAAUGCAUUACCUGGAUAAUUGCAGAAGGUAUGCUUUGAUGUCAGUGGAUUGCCAAUUGGUGUAUUCAUAAAACUGAUUAUGGAAGGCAUGAUUUGAUAAUAAUGGGUUGAUUGAUAUGGUCGUAUUUUCUGUGGCAAGCAUGGACUGGUAGCUACUUUGCUGUGGCAGAUUUUUUAUUUUUUUAUUUUUUUAU